UACGUAGGGUGCAAGCGUUGUCCGGAAUUAUUGGGCGUAAAGAGCUCGUAGGCGGUUUGUCGCGUCUGCUGUGAAAACUCGGGGCUUAACCCCGGCCUGCAGUGGGUACGGGCAGACUAGAGUGCGGUAGGGGAGACUGGAAUUCCUGGUGUAGCGGUGAAAUGUGCAGAUAUCAGGAGGAACACCGGUGGCGAAGGCGGAUCUCUGGGCCAUUACUGACGCUGAGGAGCGAAAGCGUGGGGAGCGAACAGG
rnacentral:rRNA from 1 species